rnacentral:rRNA from 1 species
GAUCCUGCCGGACCCGACUGCUAUCGGAGAGAGACUAAGCCAUGCGAGUCGAACGCCCUUUAACCACGCGGAGGGCGUGGCGGACGGCUCAGUAACACGUAGUCAACCUGCCCUGAGGACGCAGAUAACCCCGGGAAACUGGGACUAACCUGCGGUAGGUGAAUAUUCCUGGAAUGGGUCUUCGCCGAAAGAGGCCGGCGAGCAUGUUUCGCCGGUCCUGCCUCAGGAUGGGACUGCGGCCGAUCAGGUUGUUGGUGGGGUAAAGGCCCACCAAGCCGAUAACCGGUGCGGGCUUUGAGAGAAGGAGCCCGGAGAUGGACACUGAGAUAAGGGUCCAGGUCCUACGGGGCGCAGCAGGCGCGAAACCUUCGCAAUGCGUGAAAGCGCGACGAGGUUACUCCGAGUGCAGCCCGCUGAGGGCUGCUUUUCCCAGGUCUAAACCGCCUGAGGAAUAAGGGGAGGGAAAGCCUGGUGUCAGCCGCCGCGGUAAUACCAGCUCCUCGAGUGGUCGGGACGAUUAUUGGGCCUAAAGCAUCCGUAGCCGGCUCUGUAGGUCUCCCGUUAAAUUCAACGGCUCAACCGUUGACCUGCGGGAGAUACCGCAGGGCUAGGAGGCGGGAGAGGCGGACGGUACUCCGGGGGUAGGGGUAAAAUCCUUUGAUCCUCGGAAGACCACCAGUGGCGAAAGCGGUCCGCCAGAACGCGCUCGACCGGUGAGGGAUGAAAGCUGGGGGAGCGAACCGGAUUAGAUACCCGGGUAGUCCCAGCCGUAAACGAUGCGAGCUAGGUGAUGGGAUGGCUAAGAGCCGUCCCAGUGCCGCAGGGAAGCCGUUAAGCUCGCCGCCUGGGGAGUACGGCCGCAAGGCUGAAACUUAAAGGAAUUGGCGGGGGAGCACCACAAGGGGUGAAGCCUGCGGUUCAAUUGGAGUCAACGCCGGGAACCUUACCGGGAGAGACAGCAGAGUGAAGGUCAGGCUGAAGACUUUACCAGACAAGCUGAGAGGAGGUGCAUGGCCGUCGCCAGCUCGUGCCGUGAGGCGUCCUGUUAAGUCAGGCAACGAGCGAGACCCCUGCCGCUAAUUGCUAUCCUCCUCCGAAAGGGUGGGGAGGCUAGUUAGCGGGACUGCCGCCGCUAAGGCGGAGGAAGGAAGGGGCCACGGCAGGUCAGUAUGCCCCGAAACUCCCGGGCCACACGCGGGCUGCAAUGGUAGGGACAAUGAGUUCCGACCUCGAAAGAGGAAGGUAAUCCUCAAACCCUACCUCAGUUGUGACUGAGGGCUGCAACCCGCCCUCACGAAUCUGGAAUCCCUAGUAACCGCGCGUCAUCAUCGCGCGGUGAAUACGUCCCUGCUCC